rnacentral:lncRNA from 1 species
AAGUCAUACACUUUCUGCCAGAGUUUCUACUGUAAUGAGGAUAAAAGAGAUUAACUACCAACCAAAAGAUGUUUCUCACAUGGAAAACCACAAAUGCGAUCACAUCAAAAGCAUCUUCCAGUUUCUUUUUCUUACUCUCGGGCAUCAAAUCAUCCAACCAGCUGAGUUCCCGCUUCGUGAACAACAAGUCCAUCAACUUUCUUACAAAUACCAGGGCUAACACCUGAAGUAAAUAAUAAACUAGUUUAAAGUGGAAAAAAAAUUAAAACGAGAGGUGUAGAUUUGCCUGUAUGGUUUUUGGUAGAAACAAUUUCUAU